UAGUAUUCCGUUGUACAGACAUACUAGUUUGUUUAUCCAUUCGCCAGCUCAAGGGCAUCUGGGUUGUUGCCAGUUUUUGGUCAUUGUGAAUGAAGCCACUAUAAACAUUCAUAUAUAGAUUUUUGUGUGAACUUAAGUUUUCAUUUCACUUGAGUAAAUAUCUAGGAGUCGGGGGCCGGCCCGGAGGCAUAGUGGUUAAGUUCGUGUGCUCCACUUUGUGGCCUGGGCUCACCAGCUGGAAUCUGGGGCAGGGACCUAUGUACCAGUCAUCAAGCCAUGCUGUGGUGGUGUCCCGCAUACAAAAUACAGGAAGAUGGGCACAGAUGUCAGCUCAGCAACAAUCUUCCUCAAGCAAAAAGAGGAAGAUUGGCAACAGAUGUUAGCUGAGGGCCAAUCUUCCUCACCAAAAAAUCCCACAAAAAACAAAACAAAAAACUAGGAGUGAAAACUAUGGGGUAGUAAAAUAAAUGUAUGUUAACUUUAGGAGAAAUUGCCAAACUUUCCAAAACAGCUGUACCAUUUUGCAUCCCCACAUUUGGCAUGGUCAGUAUUUUGUUUGUUUUUAGUCAUUCUGAUUGGUAUGUAAUGCUACCUCAUUGUGGUUUUAAUUUGCAAUUCCCUACUAACUAAUGAUAUUGAGCAUCAUUUCAUGUGCCAUCUACACAACUUCUUUCGUGAAGUAUCUGUUCAACUCUUUGGCCUUUUAAAACACUGGGUUGUCUGCUUGUUUUUUUUAUUGUAUGGGAACUCUUUAUAUAUUUUAGAUACAAAUCUUUUAUCAGACGUGAUUUACACAUACUUUCUCCCAGCCUAUGGCUUCUCAUUCUCUCCACAGUGUCUCUUGAACUACUUUACAUAUGUUAUCUCUCUUAGCACAAAGCAUAUACUUUAUGAAGUAGCAUCUUGGUCGUGGAGCCCCAGGACAAUCUCUUCCCUAGGACCUGGUGUCUCCUGGGAAAAGGCCAUUUUGAAACUAGACAUACUUUCUUUGAUCAGUAAAUUUUUUCUUAAAGUAGCUAAAAGUCAGUAAGUCUUAGAUGUGCAAUUGAUUAUAACACUGCAAUAGGAAUUUGGGCUCUAAUAGCUAUGCUUGAAGUGUAAAUUGGUGCCUGGUGUGAGCUAAUGAAUGCCUAGUCACCACUGAGACACCUGAGUGGCAUGGCCCCUGAAGACCUAGCCUCUCAGCAUCAGUCAGGACAACCCUAGCUGGCACCAUAAAGAGGAAGGCCCAACAGCUGAUUCUCCAAGAUAACCUAAGACAACAGAACAAACUUCUCUUCUUGCUGCCACUCUUGUACCCACUGAGACCAAAUGACUACAGAGAUAUUCCUUCUGGGACAAGGAAGAGGAAGGACUCAUUUCCUGGGUGUCCAUGAGCUGUCAGAAGUUCCCCUCCCACUUCUCCUUCAUCAUGUGUAUCGGCAUGAAGAGUGACAAACAGUUACUCUUCUCUCCUUUUUGGCAAGGAUCCUCUUCCCCACAGUGGCUUUAUUCAUCCCUGUAAGUCUGCUGUUUCUCUAUUUAAAAGUUCCCUUAUAUUUAGAGAAAAAAUAGUCUAGUUCUCUGUGAAAAUUGAAAUUUAGUUCUUAAGAGUAUAAAGCAGGCAUUAUUAUCCCUAUUUUAUUGAUAAGGAAACUAGAAUUGAAUGAAUUAUCAUUUUAACUAAUUUGAGGAACCUUGCUUUUUUCAAAGGAUACAAAAUUAGUUGCUCAAACGAGUGUUACUGUAAAUUUAUGCAAAAUACAAAGAUGUUAAUUUUUUCUUCAAAGUCUCAUAGAGACUCAAAGUUCUAAGGAUAUAAAACUGUUCAAAUCAGUGAUCGAUAGAAAUCUACUCUAUAUUAUAUAAGAUAUAAUGUCACUGAAAAUUUAUAAGCAAACUAAAUUUCAGUGCAUUGAGGCUAAGAGGUUAAGCAGCUUGCCUAGUCACAUAGCUAGUCUGUACCGCAUUCAGGAUUCACACCCAGCGCUGUGUGUCUCUGAAGCUAUGCUCUUCCCACUCUACCACAACAGACCUACAUCGGAAUGAGAGUUCAGAGUCAAAUAGUGAGAGAGACUGAAUUAAAUCUACUCUUUCUGCUUUCCUUUGUUUUGACUUUUAUAGGCAUCUUUAUUUGGAGGGAACAUUCCAGUUACAAAUGUGACAGGCUGACAUUUGUAAUCUUUGUAAUAUUGGCAAGCACAGAUGGGAGAUGACCAACGCUGAAAAAGGAGAAGAGGGAGCGGUAUCAGAAAUGCAGGAGACACAGUCUAGUUGGCAAAUUCAGAGUUGGAAAGACCUUUAGAAGUAUAUGGUCCAACUUCACCAGACCCCGAGCAGGCCCAGGUUUGGCUCUUCUUGUAACUCUCCAGUGAUGGGAACUCAAUAUCCUCCCCGAAGCCUAGAAGAGACCCUCAGAUGGUUUUACUCCAUAAGCUUGAAAAGCAAAGAGCAACCACAAAUUCCAGCGAUGGGUGUGCUCAACUUUCUGGAAUAACAAAAACAAAACCAAACCAAACACAGAAGAAAAACAGUCCCCAGCAGCCCACACACACAAAACUCCACUGGCAUUAUCUUCACCGCCAUCUCCUAGAACAAUUGCACCUUUUGUCAUUUCUGGUGGAGGUACAGCUGCUGAAGAAGCCAAGACUUAGAGGAGAAAGCAAAGACAUGGAAGGAGGGAAGAAAAUGCUUCCUUUGUUAAUGAAAAGCUGUUUCCAUUUAAAAGUUUCAACAUACUAUGGAAUAGUGAAUGCACUUUUGUGAGCAAAAGCAAAGCAUACAAUGAAGAAAAGCUGCCUGUCAAUUAAAUAAACAGUCAUUUGAAGACACCCCCUUUCUUGAGAAAGCGGGGGAGAAGGGAGGGAAUGUGGACUACUACCAGUCGUGGCUGAAGAUGUGUCUGAGAGGUACAGUAAAUACGACACAGGGCUUCUAGAGUGAUACAGAUUCAUUUAAUUACGACAGUAAGAAAUCACAAGGUUAAUAGGUUUUUUAAAAGACCACAAGGCUAUAAUAAACUGUUCUAGCAUGCAUUAAAAAUGGAGUGCUUGGGAAAGCAUUUUAUUGAAUUUCACAAAUUUCCAGUGAGUUUAUUUUCCUUCAUGAAGCAAUGCCUUAAGACAGGUAGGGACAAGCUAGAGUUUCUGUUACACAACAGCAGGCUCUUGUGAUAAACCUGAUUACAAUACCCUGCCAGAGGUGAACUUCCUGCUUAGCUAUUAAAAAAAAAAAAAAUUGAGUACACUGCCUCACCCUUACUUAUCCUUGUUGUUUUGAAGCAAAGAUUCAGCUGAGAAAAAGCUAAUACGACAAGCACCUGUUAAUCCAAGACUUUCUAUUACAAAGGAAAAUUAAUAAGGAAUAAAAGCAAUGUCAGAAGUAAUGACACAGCACUGGAAUAUAUUAUUUAUGGAGGAGGAUAAGAUGAAUUCCACAUGUAGUAAUACAUAAGAUUCACAGAACAGUUCACCUCACGUUUUCAGUCUACUAGAAAUACCUUAAUGGUCGUAAAUCUACCAUGUAGUAACUAAAAAUACUUUUUUAUGUUCAAACUCUGGUCUUCUGAGAUUUGUGGUGAACACCAUAUGUGAAAUAUGGUCUUGGUCCUGUGGAUGAGACAUUUUAAAAACAUGCUGUCGACUUGCACAAGGACAAACCUUAUGAACAAAAACAAAUUUAUGAAUUGAUGACCAAUGAGACCUUGCCAACUGAACAGGAGACAGUAAUUUGUUUUGGCCCCAGGAUCAGAGCUGGGAAAAACAUACUGGCGUCCUCUUUCUUAAGAUGUGUCUGUUCUCCAAACAGUCUGCUGAUUGUUGCAUAGCUAUGUUCAAAUUUCACGUAU